rnacentral:rRNA from 1 species
UAAUCCAUGCCGAACUUAGAAGUGAAACGCUGUUACGCCGAUGGUAGUGUGGGGAUUCCCCAUGUGAGAGUAGGUCACCGCCAGGU